UCAAGUGAGGAAGUGCACGAGGUGGAUGCCUUGGCAAUCACAGGCGAUGAAGGACGUGGUAGGCUGCGAAAAACCUUGGCGAGCUGUCAGCGAGCGUAGAGUCAGGGGUGUCCGAAUGGGGGAACCCGGCGUGCGAUGAGUGCGUCACCAGUGUUUGAAUAAAUAGGAUACUGGAGCGAACCUGGGGAACUGAAACAUCUAAGUACCCGGAGGAAAAGAAAUCAAUUGAGAUUCCCUGAGUAGUGGCGAGCGGAAGGGGAGGAGCCUGUACGAGUUAGCGCGAUAGUGAGUAGAACGAUUUGGGAAAAUCGGCGAUAAGGGGUGAUAGUCCCGUAUACGGAAGCUAUUGAGUGGGACUGGGCGUACGACAAGUAGGGCGGGGCACGAGAAACCCUGUUUGAAGAUGGGGGGACCAUCCUCCAAGGCUAAAUACUAGUGAUUGACCGAUAGAGAACAAGUACCGUGAGGGAAAGGUGAAAAGAACCCCGGGAGGGGAGUGAAAUAGAAUCUGAAACCGCGUGCAUACAAACAGUAGGAGCCGAGAGGUGACUGCGUACCUUUUGUAUAAUGGGUCAGCGAGUUACAUUUACUGGCGAGCUUAACCUGAUGGGUAGGCGUAGCGAAAGCGAGUUUUAAUAGAGCGUAAGUCUGUAGAUGUAGACCCGAAACCGGAUGAUCUAUCCAUGUCCAGGGUGAAGGUUGGGUAAAGCCAAUUGGAGGCCCGAACCCACUACUGUUGCAAAAGUAGGGGAUGAGGUGUGGAUAGGGGUGAAAGGCCAAACAAAUCCGGAGAUAGCUGGUUCUCCCCGAAAACUAUUGAGGUAGUGCCUUACGUGAUGAUUAUCUGGGGUAGAGCACUGUAAUGGUGGUGGGGGUCAUUGAGACUUACUGCGCCAUAGCAAACUCCGAAUACGGAUAAUUUAGCGUAGGAGACAGUCUCAGGGUGCUAACGUUCUGGGACGAGAGGGAAACAACCCGGACCGCCAGCUAAGGUCCCGAAUAGUGGUUAAGUGUGAAACGAGGUGGGAAGGCAGAGACAGCCAGGAGGUUGGCUUAGAAGCAGCCAUCCUUUGAAGAAAGCGUAAUAGCUCACUGGUCGAGUCGUCCUGCGCGGAAGAUGUAAGGGGGCUAUAACCAUUAACCGAAGCUGUGGGUAUGCAGGGAGAGAUUUCUGCAUGUGGUAGGGGAGCGUUCUGUAGGCUGAAGAAGGUGUGCUGUGAGGCGUGCUGGAGGUAUCAGAAGUGCGAAUGCUGACAUGAGUAGCGAAGAAGGGGGUGAGAGGCCCCCUCGCCGGAAGCCCAAGGUUUCCUGCGCGACGUUAAUCGUCGCAGGGUGAGUCGGAUCCUAAGGCGAGGCUGAGAGGCGUAGUCGAUGGUUGACGGGUUAAUAUUCCCGUACCGAUGUUAGUAGUGAUGUGGGGACGGAGAAAGCUAUACCAUCUGGGUGUUGGAAUACCCAGUUUAAGCUUGAGGGUUAGCUAGUCAGGGAAAUCCGGCUGGUGAUGCUGAGGGGUGAAUACGAGUGGCUGAGAGGUCACGAAGUGGUAGAUGCUAAGCUUCCAGGAAAAGCCACUAAGCGUUGAUCUAACGUUGACCGUACCGCAAACCGACACAGGUGGGCAGGAAGAGAAUUCUAAGGCGAUUGAGAGAACUCAGGAGAAGGAACUAGGCAAAAUAGCACCGUAACUUAGGGAGAAGGUGUACCCCGAGGAGGUGAGAGUUGAACGACUGGAGCCGUAAGGGGUUGCAAUAACCAGGUGGCUGCGACUGUUUAAUAAAAACAUAGCACUCUGCGAACACGUAAGUGGAAGUAUAGGGUGUGACGCCUGCCCGGUGCCGGAAGGUUAAAUGAGGAGGUGAGAGCCUUUGAUUGAAGCCCCGGUAAACGGCGGCCGUAACUAUAACGGUCCUAAGGUAGCGAAAUUCCUUGUCGGGUAAGUUCCGACCUGCACGAAUGGCGUAACGAUGGCCACGCUGUCUCCUCCUGAGGCUCAGCGAAAUUGAAGUGGUUGUGAAGAUGCAAUCUACCUGCGGCUAGACGGAAAGACCCCAUGAACCUUUACUGUAGCUUUGUACUGAGCUUUGAGCCGGUUUGUGUAGGAUAGGUGGGAGGCUAGGAAGGCUGUGCGCAAGUGUGGCUGGAGUCGAUGUUGAAAUACCACUCUGACUUGUUUGAGGUUCUAACCUUGGGCUAUUGACUAGUUUGGGGACAGUGCAUGGUGGGCAGUUUGACUGGGGCGGUCUCCUCCCAAAGAGUAACGGAGGAGUGCGAAGGUACGCUUGGUGCGGUCGGAAAUCGUGCCUAAAGUGCAAGGGCGUAAGCGUGCUUGACUGUGAGACUGACAGGUCGAUCAGGUGCGAAAGCAGGUCCUAGUGAUCCGGUGGUACUGAAUGGAAGGGCCAUCGCUCAACGGAUAAAAGGUACUCUGGGGAUAACAGGCUAAUUCCGCCCAAGAGUUCGUAUCGACGGCGGAGUUUGGCACCUCGAUGUCGGCUCAUCACAUCCUGGGGCUGAAGCAGGUCCCAAGGGUAUGGCUGUUCGCCAUUUAAAGUGGUACGUGAGCUGGGUUUAAAACGUCGUGAGACAGUUUGGUCCCUAUCUGCCGUAGGCGAAGGAAGUUUGAGGGGGGCUGCUCCUAGUACGAGAGGACCGGAGUGGACGUACCGCUGGUGUGCCGGUUGUAUCGCCAGAUGCAUAGCCGGGUAGCUAAGUACGGGAGGGAUAACCGCUGAAAGCAUCUAAGCGGGAAGCUUGCCCCGAGAUAAGACAUCCCAGAGAGGAGACUUUCUCUGAAGGGUCGUUUUAGACUAAGACGUUGAUAGGCUGGGUGUGUAAGCGCAGUAAUGCGUUGAGCUAACCAGUACUAAUUACCCGUGAGGCUUGAUCCU
rnacentral:rRNA from 1 species